UUUUGUUAAAAAGGAUUAGCCAACAUAAAGAUAAGAGAGCUGUCUAUGGGAGUCAAGCAAGCCAUUUUGAAGCUGAGAAAAGAGGGAAUUAGAGUCAUUCGACAAACAUUGGGUAUAGCCAGUACAACAAUUUGGAAUGUCCUGAAAAAGAAAGACACCACUGGUGUACUGAGCAACAGACACCGUAAUGGGUCGGCCAAGGAAAACAACAACAGCUGAUAACAGAAAUAUUGUGAGAGCUGUGAAGAAAAACCCAAAAUCAAGAGUCAGUGACAUCACCAAAAACUUCCACAGGGCAUAGGUCAAGAUAUCACAAUCCACCAUUCGAAGAAGACUAGAAGAGCAGAAGUAUAGACUGCAGGGAGAAACCCCCUGAAACAAACAAGAUGUGAAAGAGUCUGUGGUAAAAGCCUGGAAAAGCAUCACAAAAGAAGAAACCAACAAUUUGGUGAUGUCAAUAAGUCUCAAGCUUGAUGCAGUUACUGCGGACCUGAUCGAGAACUUGCAAAUGCCUUGGUAGAAGAGUGGAGUAACAGCUCACAGCAAGAACUGACAAAUCUGGUGCAGUCCAUGAGGAUGAGAUGCACUGUAGUACAUAAAGCAGCUGGUGGACACCAGAUACUGACUGUUACUUUUGAUAUUGACCCCGCUUUGUUCAGGGACUCAUUAUUCCAUUUCUGUUUGUCAAAUGUCUGUGAAACUUGUUCAGUUUAUGUCUCAGUUGUUGAAUGUUUUUAUAUUAAUACAAAUAAUUAUGCAUGUUAAGA
ensembl:lncRNA